rnacentral:rRNA from 1 species
UACGGGGGGGGCAAGCGUUGUUCGGAAUUACUGGGCGUAAAGGGCUCGUAGGCGGCCAACUAAGUCAGACGUGAAAUCCCUCGGCUUAACCGGGGAACUGCGUCUGAUACUGGAUGGCUUGAGUUCGGGAGAGGGAUGCGGAAUUCCAGGUGUAGCGGUGAAAUGCGUAGAUAUCAGGAGGAACACCGGUGGUGUAGACGGCUUUCUGGACCGUAACUGACGCUGAGACACGAAAGCGUGGGUAGCAAACAGG